GGAGGAAUAUUGGUCAAUGGACGAGAGUCUGAACCAGCCAAGUAGCGUGCAGGAUGACGGCCCUAUGGGUUGUAAACUGCUUUUAUAAGGGAAUAAAGUUAGAGUCGUGACUCUUUUUGCAUGUACCUUAUGAAUAGGGACCGGCUAAUUCCGUGCCAGCAGCCGCGGUAAUACGGAAGGUCCGGGCGUUAUCCGGAUUUAUUGGGUUUAAAGGGAGCGUAGGCCGGAGAUUAAGCGUGUUGUGAAAUGUAGAUGCUACAACAUCUGCACUGCAGCGACGAAC
rnacentral:rRNA from 1 species